rnacentral:rRNA from 1 species
GUUCUCAGUUCGGAUCGGAGUCUGCAACCCGACUCCGUGAAGCUGGAUUCGCUAGUAAUCGCGCAUCAGCCAUGGCGCGGUGAAUACGUUCCCGGGCCUUGUACACACCGCCCGUCAAGCCAUGGGAGCCGGGGGUGCUUGAAGUGCGUCGCCGUGAGGCGCGCCCUAGAGCAAAACCGGUGACUGGGGCUAAGUCGUAACAAGGUACC